rnacentral:lncRNA from 1 species
AAUAAAUGGCUUCUGCGGCUAUAUUUUCAUUGUUGCAUGUUUCCUCCUGAGGAAGAAUUCCAAAUCUUGAAAAUUCAGGUUCUUUUUGUGCUCCUGGAUUCUUUUCGUGAGAUGGGAUUGUCUAAAAUGGCUUCAACUGUGUUGUUAUGCUUCUACCUCCUACUUUAUAGGUCAAAAAUCCUGCUUAAUUAUAUUAAAUCAUUGAGUAAAUUAUGGCUCCUGCUUAAAAACCAAUUGAUAUCGGAUCAUUUCCAUGCUUUGAACCAGGAAAUCUCCACCCUCUUGGAUGUUUUCUCCUCAAAUGAAGUUAAUUUAUCCAAAGAUGUAAAGGAACAAGUUGAAUUGUUACGAGAACAAUUGAGAAAGUCGAAGUUGAUGAUUGAUAAGUAUUAGAAUUUAUUGAUUGACAAAGCUUGAAUCAAACUCCAUAAAGGAGAAGAACAAACUCCAUAAAAGGAGAACAAAAUACACUCCGUAAUAGGAGGAAAUGACACUCUAUUAAAGGAGGAAGAAUCACUCCAUAGAAGGAGGAAGAGAAACCUCGAUGGAAGGAGGGAUUGAA